UAGAUAUGGAUUUGAUAGCGCGAGCAGC
rnacentral:piRNA from 1 species